rnacentral:rRNA from 1 species
AAGGAAAGGUGAAAAGGACCCCGGGAGGGGAGUGAAAGAGAACCUGAAACCCUGUGUCUACAAGCUGUGGAAGUACUUCUUAGGUACGACCGCGUACUUUUUGUAGAACGGUCCGGCGAGCUGCGGGUACUGGCAAGGUUAAGCACUUCAGGUGCGGAGCCGUAGGGAAACCAAGUCUUAAGAGGGCGUGAAGUCAGUAAGAGUAGACCCGAAACCGGGUGAUCUACCCAUGUCCAGGCUGAAGCUGCCGUAAGAGGUAGUGGAGGACCGAACCCACAUCCGUUGAAAAGGGUGGGGAUGAGGUGUGGAUAGGGGAGAAAUUCCAAUCGAACCCGGAGAUAGCUGGUUCUCCUCGAAAUAGCUUUAGGGCUAGCCUCGAUACAGAUUUGCGGAGGUAGAGCACUGAAUUUCCUAGGGGGCGUCAAAGCCUACCGAAGAAUAUCAAACUCCGAAUGCCGCGUAAUCGAUUAUCGGGAGUCAGACUGCACGAGAUAAGUUGGGCGGUCAAAAGGGAAAGAGCCCAGACCUUCAGUUAAGGUCCCCAAGUGCGCGUUAAGUGGAAAAGGAUGUGGGAUUUCGAAGACAACCAGGAUGUUGGCUCAGAAGCAGCCAUCCAUUCAAAGAGUGCGUAAUAGCUCACUGGUCGAGAGGUCCUGCGCCGAAAAUGUCCGGGGCUGAAACGCGCCACCGAAACUAAGGAACCGAAAGGUUGGUAGAGGAGCAUUGCAUGCGGGAAGAAGCAGUACCGUAAGGAGCUGUGGACUGCAUGGAAGAGAGAAUGCCGGAAUGAGUAGCGAGAAUAAGGUGGGAAUCCUUAUGGCCGAAUAUCCAAGGUUUCCAGAGUAAAGCUGAUCUGCUCUGGGUAAGUCGGGGCCUAAGGCGAGGACGAGAGUCGUAGCCGAUGGACAACAGGUGGAGAUUCCUGUACUGCGGUAUGACAGAACUGUGGGGACACGUAAGGAAAGCGGAAGCCGGGAAUGGAAAGCCCGGUGCAAGCGGGGUACCAGUCACUUUGGCAAAUCCGGGUGGCAAUGGGAAGCCGUGAUGCGGAGCGAAAUAAAGUAGCGAAGUCCGUGAGCCAUGCGUCAAGAAAAGCCGCUAUCGUUUAUACCGUACCCGUACCGUAAACCGACACAGGUGGAUGAGGAGAGAAUCCUAAGGCCGGCGGAAGAAGCAUUGUCAAGGAACUCGGCAAAAUGGCCCCGUAACUUAGGGAUAAGGGGUGCCUGGGAAACCAGGCCGCAGAGAAUAGGCUCAAGCAACUGUUUAGCAAAAACACAGGUCUAUGCGAAACCGAAAGGUGAGGUAUAUGGGCUGACGCCUGCCCGGUGCUGGAAGGUUAAGAGGAGAGGUUAGCGCAAGCGAAGCUUUGAAUUUAAGCCCCAGUAAACGGCGGCCGUAACUAUAACGGUCCUAAGGUAGCGAAAUUCCUUGUCGGGUAAGUUCCGACCCGCACGAAAGGCGUAAUGAUUUGAGCGCUGUCUCGACAAUGCAUCCGGUGAAAUUGAAGUACCAGUGAAGAUGCUGGUUACCCGCGCCAGGACGGAAAGACCCCAUGGAGCUUUACUCCAGUUUGGUACUGGGGUCCGGCAGUGCAUGUACAGGAUAGGUGGGAGGCUGAGAACCUGGAACGCCAGUUUCAGGGGAGCCAUUGUUGGGAUACCACCCUUGUGCUGCUGGGCUUCUAACCAGCGGCCUUUAUCAGGCCGGGGGACAAUGCCAGACGGGGAGUUUGACUGGGGCGGUCGCCUCCGAAAGGGUAUCGGAGGCGCCCAAAGGUUCCCUCAGAAUGGACGGAAACCAUUCGAAGAGUGCAAAGGCAGAAGGGAGCUUGACUGCGACACCGACGGGUGGAGCAGGUACGAAAGUAGGACUUAGUGAUCCGGUGGUAUUAAGUGGGAAUGCCAUCGCUCAACGGAUAAAAGCUACCCUGGGGAUAACAGGCUUAUCACUCCCAAGAGUUCACAUCGACGGAGUGGUUUGGCACCUCGAUGUCGGCUCAUCGCAUCCUGGGGCUGUAGUAGGUCCCAAGGGUUGGGCUGUUCGCCCAUUAAAGCGGUACGCGAGCUGGGUUCAGAACGUCGUGAGACAGUUCGGUCCCUAU